UCAACUGUUUUUACGGAACAAUUUCCACGAAAUGUGAUACAGAGGCAUGCCACGAAACAAGAUGAGAUCCGUCAUUAACGAGGAGUCUUUCUCUUUCUUGGUAAAAGUGUUCGGUGAGAGGCUGCGGGCGUAUAUACCAAGCGGUAUCAUAAAGGACUUGUCGCCGGAAAGUCCCACGCGCUUCGCCAACCAUCGUAGGGACAACGACGGCGCCAGAUUCGAGAGUAGACAAGAGAGCAGACGGAGAAAGGAAAAAGAAUCUACGACGUUGAAAGGCAGAAGAUAUCUGCAUUAACAAGUAAAACCGGCUGACAUUUAUGGGGAACAUCGAACCGUUCGCCGAAGAUAAAAGGAAGAGCAGCAGCAUUACAGGUGAACCUGAUUGGCCCGGUUUUAUCAGACAUCCUUAAAAAGGAACAUCGAAAAUGCUUUUAAAAUAUGCAAAACACCGGCGAAGACGAGCUCGCGUCCGAUCAAUAAAUCGAUCGAAACUUUUUGCUAUAAUUAACGUGUCGCCGCGACGUUGGCGCCCGAACCUACCCUAACCUGUUUCCCCGAUUGGAACGUGUUUACGCCAUCUUUCAACGGAACCGUGAAGUUAUCGCCAACUUCUCAGCGAUACUCAAGGAACUCAGAAAUUGGUGUAACUAUGGAGGAGUCAGGGCGGCCCUUUAAAUUAUUGAGCGUUUAUUUUCGAAAUUGUAAUAUUUAGGAAAUUCUUAUAAUAGUAUCAUGAUCUAUUAACAAGCAAAGCCUCAUCAAAAGAGAAGGGAAAAAUUUGUGAAACCAAUUACCUAGGACUCAGUUUCUAAGCGAAAAGGUCAAAAUAAUUUCUUUUCUCACUUCUUCUCGUUCAGAUAAGUAGAAUUAUGAAAUUAUGGAUUCCAGUUGAGCAUAUCUAUCUGCCCCAAAGAGAUGGGAAGAUCUAAAGCGUUUAGAAAUGUCUUUGCUGUAAAAUUUUUACUGCCGCCCUGACAAUUUUUAAAAUCCCGCCAUAAAAUUCAAACGGAGCUGCCAUCUAACGAUUCGUUUAAAUAUCUAAAUGAAAACAUUUAUUAUGAGCCUGAAGAAUGGUCAUUGCGACUCGGAGGCUGAAUUUAGAGGUUAAGAAGUCAGGAAGAAGAGGAGGAGAAGGUGAUGGAACACGGGUGUGUCGAAGUACGUCCUAGUGUGGCUGUGUGCGACGGGGAGAAGGGACGGGGCGGUGCCCCUGCUUCCACCAGAUAAAAAUAGAUAUUACGAGUUUACCGCGGCGCCAAGAUUGCGGGGUAUCGCGACGAUUACGUCAUCGGUAGUAGCGCGAGUGGUUGGAGCAAGGACGCUUGUCGCGUCGCCCGCCGCCGUCGCCGCCGUCGUCGUCGUCGCCGUCGCCGUCGUGGCGAACCACGAAUUUUCGUGUCUAUCUAUGAUCAUCCGUAGCCAGCUUUUAGCUGUUUUCAACAAACCCGUGGCGCGCCUCGUUGAAUCAUGGCGCUUCGUCUAGGAAGCGCGCGCACGCGGUAGCAACUCUCCUACCGUCCUUUUUCAUGCUAAUCAUGCUUUCUCGACACUUUUUUUUUGUUUUUAUUAGGACAUUCAAUUAAUAAUGCCGUCCAUCAUCUUGGAUAAGAGAAACGACUAGAUAAUACAAAUUUUUUAAACAAAAAUGCUCCCAUUAUUAUUUUUUGACAAAAUAGUUUUUUUAGAGAAAAUUAUGUUAAUUAAACGUUGUAACGGGCUUGGUUCAAGUAAGGCAACAGUUCUAAUUACUGCAAUGAAUAUUUUUGCAAUUUUACACCGUAAUUUUAAACAUUGAUGGCUUACUGGAAAAACUGGCAUCGUUGUUUGCAAUUAUUUAACCCUACGCUCAAGUUUGAAUUACCGAUCAUUGAUGAAAAUUACAAGCUUCUAUGAAAAUUGGAAAUACCAUAUCACAUACGAUCUUCAUGUAUGUUAUUUUCCCAUUACAGCUUCGGCUAUUAUUAAUAUAACUAUAAAGCUUUCGACAUAGGUUGAUGCCAUUUACUUCAAUGUCCAGAUUAAAAUUUAUCGUUCAUUUACAUAAUUGUACAGUCACAUUGUACUAUAGUGCCUACUAAUAAGGAUUAUCAAUUUAAAGGAAAAAUAUUUAAUGUCAUUUGUUGCUAUACAGAUUUAUA